AGUGAACGCUGGCGGUAGGCCUAACACAUGCAAGUCGAACGGCAGCACAGUAAGAGCUUGCUCUUACGGGUGGCGAGUGGCGGACGGGUGAGGAAUACAUCGGAAUCUACUUUUUCGUGGGGGAUAACGUAGGGAAACUUACGCUAAUACCGCAUACGACCUCCGGGUGAAAGCAGGGGAUCUUCGGACCUUGCGCGAUUGAAUGAGCCGAUGUCGGAUUAGCUAGUUGGCGGGGUAAAGGCCCACCAAGGCGACGAUCCGUAGCUGGUCUGAGAGGAUGAUCCGCCACACUGGACCGGAGACACGGCCCAGACCCCUACGGGAGGCAGCAGUGGGAAAUAUUGGAAAAGGGGCGCAAGCCUGAUCCAGCCAUACCGCGGGGGUGAAGAAGGCCUUCGGGUUGUAAAGCCCUUUUGUUGGGAAAGAAAAGCAGCAGGUUAACACCCCGCUGUUCUGACGGUACCCAAAGAAUAAGCACCGGCUAACUUCGU
rnacentral:rRNA from 1 species